GGAGGAAGUAGGGGAUCGCAAGACCUUGCGCCUUUGGAGCGGCCGAUGCCUGAUUAGCUUGUUGGUGAGGUAAAAGCUCACCAAGGCUUCGAUCAGUAGCUGGUCUGAGAGGACGACCAGCCACACUGGGACUGAGACACGGCCCAGACUCCUACGGGAGGCAGCAGUGGGGAAUUUUGGACAAUGGGGGCAACCCUGAUCCAGCCAUGCCGCGUGAGUGAAGAAGGCCUUCGGGUUGUAAAGCUCUUUCAGCCGGAACGAAACGGUUACGGUUAAUACCCGUGACUACUGACGGUACCGGAAGAAGAAGCACCGGCUAACUACGUGCCAGCAGCCGCGGUAAUACGUAGGGUGCGAGCGUUAAUCGGAAUUACUGGGCGUAAAGCGUGCGCAGGUGGUUUUGUAAGUCAGAUGUGAAAUCCCCGGGCUUAACCUGGGAACUGCGUUUGAAACUACAAGGCUAG
rnacentral:rRNA from 1 species